AUGUCUAGUCUGGCAGCACACAUACUAAAACUGGAACAAUAUAGAGAGACUAAAAUGGUCCUUGUGCAAGGAUGACAUACAAAAUCAUGAAGCUUCUGUAUUCUUA
ensembl:snRNA U6 U6 spliceosomal RNA